rnacentral:rRNA from 1 species
AAAUUGAAGAGUUUGAUCAUGGCUCAGAUUGAACGCUGGCGGCAGGCCUAACACAUGCAAGUCGAGCGGCAGCGGGAAAGUAGCUUGCUACUUUUGCCGGCGAGCGGCGGACGGGUGAGUAAUGCCUGGGGAUCUGCCCAGUCGAGGGGGAUAACAGUUGGAAACGACUGCUAAUACCGCAUACGCCCUACGGGGGAAAGCAGGGGACCUUCAGGCCUUGCGCGAUUGGAUGAACCCAGGUGGGAUUAGCUAGUUGGUGAGGUAAUGGCUCACCAAGGCGACGAUCCCUAGCUGGUCUGAGAGGAUGAUCAGCCACACUGGAACUGAGACACGGUCCAGACUCCUACGGGAGGCAGCAGUGGGGAAUAUUGCACAAUGGGGGAAACCCUGAUGCAGCCAUGCCGCGUGUGUGAAGAAGGCCUUCGGGUUGUAAAGCACUUUCAGCGAGGAGGAAAGGUUGGUAGCGAAUAACUGCCAGCUGUGACGUUACUCGCAGAAGAAGCACCGGCUAA